rnacentral:lncRNA from 1 species
CGCUUUCCACUCUCUUCUGUAGAUCUCCCUUCAUUCUCUCCCCCCUUCUCUCUGCAAACCCUAAGGCAUUCCAUUGCCACCACCAAACCCUAAAAACUCUCCUUAUAUUAGGGAUAAACCACCCUGAUUAAAGGAAAAAUAUCAUAUCGAGGGUUAAUCUCAAUAUUGCCGACAAUAACUUUUUGGAGUCUAAAAGCCCUAAUAUCAUGUCAAACUAUGGGUUAUGUACAAUCAGAGCUUGAUGCUAAGGAAAUAGAAAGCGACCCAACCUACCACGAAACCUAAAUCUAGGAAUGAAGCUAUGGAGGAGGAAGGGUUUGCUCUUCUUCUGAUUAGCUCAAAUAUGGUUCAGGGGUUUAAUGCAUCCGAUUGGCUCAAAAAAACCCUAAAGAAAUCCAAAACAUCAUCAAUAAUAAACCAACAUCUUCUGCUAAACCUCACAUACGAAGCUUCGUUGGUUCCCGAUUAGCUCUAUUGAAAACCUCGAUAUGUCCACGUUAUCAUUAUUUGAUGAUGAUGGUUCCCGAUUGCUUGUGAAAUUGAAGCUCCAUUGGAUGGAUAAGAAAAGGCGAAGACAUGGAUCAAGGUAUGCUUCUACAUCACAAGUGAUUCACAUCUGUGGUUAUUUUUCCUGAAAUUCUCAAUUCUUCUGCUCUUUUCAAUAGAAGGGGAAUCAAUUGCACAAAUUCCAGAGUGAACAGUACAUCCUAGCUCCGGUGACGCCAAACAACAGCUAAAUAAACUUGAUUUCGGCUCCACGGGUCGGGUCAAGCUGCUGGAGCUCUCGGAGAAAUGCCGGAGUGAAAUUGAUACGUUCCGUUUAGUCAAAGAUCCUCUAGAAUCAGGCAAGUGUACGAGCAUAGUGAUAAUCCCGGUUUCCGCUACUUUUUUUUUGCAGAUCUGGAUUUGAUGAAACGGUGAAUCAACAAAGAGCUCUGGAAGCACUUUCGAUCAUGAUUUCCGGUUUUUGAAAUUGAUUAGUGAGGAUGGAAACGAUCAAUUCGAGUGCUGUGCCAUAGAGAAUCCAUCGCUUCAUUUGAGGGUUUUUUGGAAGGUUAGAGAUGAUUUCCAUUGAAGCGACGCCUUCUUCAACUUUAUCGGAAGCUGGUAUGAUUCUCAACAAAGUCUCCACACAUUUAGGCCCAACGUGUUCCUGAAAUGUCUCGUCAUUCUCACUCCCGUCUUUUAUCAAACCACAUAACAGCUUCACGGCGAUCGGACGGCUGGGUUUUCGUGCUCGCAUAACUGAACCAGUACUUGAACCGAAGAGAUCUGAUGAUGAAAUUGAACGUAAAUGAGCACCGAUUGACGAUGUAAUCAAAGGAGAUAAACAGAAAAUUGGAAAACUCACCU